CACCCUGCCUGCUGGCUCGGCAGGGUAAUUCCUCAGGUCACCACAGUUUCCAGCCUGCCUUGGGCUUGGAGAAUGAGGAGGUGGGAGAGCAACAGCUUGCAACCGUGAACAUCCACCAUGCAUCGCUUUAUCACCUAGAGCAAGCUCCUGAGGAUGUUGAGGAAGAAGGCUCUGCAGGUGGCCUCAGAGCCUGAGGGAAGCAGCUGCCAUCUUCCGCAGGAACAGAGCGGUCCCUUUGUCCCCUCUGGCGGGGAAGGAGUUCCCGGCUGAGCCAGGAGGUGGAAGCGCCCAGCCUUCUGGAGGAGGAAACCUGCUCCGGAUGCAGGUGCUGAGGGACCUCCAGGGACUCAGAGGACGAGGAGGAGGUAGCCGUGGACAUGGCUAUGAGGAGGCUGCUCUCAGGAACAUCCGAGAGCAGUUCCAAGGCUGAGAAAAGGACAAGGCCCAGCAGCUCAUGUUCCUGGAUGCCAUCCACCCCGCGUGAUUCGCUACACGGAAGAGAGCACAGGACACAUGGGAGUCGCACUGCUGCAAGGCGGCUGUGGUGGAG